UGCCCAAUGCGGGAAUCGAACUCGGGUCGUAGCGAUCGAAAAUCAACGGUUUAGACCAUCUUUCUACCAACCCACUAGGGC
rnacentral:tRNA from 1 species